UGCAUAAUCCCAAAAGCGGAGGAAAAGAAACUAACAAGGAUUCCCCUAGUAACUGCGAGUGAAGCGGGAAAAGCUCAAAUUUAAAAUCUGGUGGUCUUCUGGCCAUCCGAGUUGUAAUCUAGAGAAGUGUUAUCCGUGCUGGACCGUGUACAAGUCCCCUGGAAUGGGGCGUCAUAGAGGGUGAGAAUCCCGUCUUUGACACGGACUACCAGGGCUUUGUGAUGCACUCUCAACGAGUCGAGUUGUUUGGGAAUGCAGCUCAAAAUGGGUGGUAAAUUCCAUCUAAAGCUAAAUAUUGGCGAGAGACCGAUAGCGAACAAGUACCGUGAGGGAAAGAUGAAAAGAACUUUGGAAAGAGAGUUAAACAGUACGUGAAAUUGUUGAAAGGGAAACGCUUGAAGUCAGUCGCGUCGGCCGGGGAUCAACCUUGCUUUUGUGAGGCGUACUUCCUGGUUGACGGGUCAGCAUCAGUUUUGGCUGCUGGACAAAGGUCAGGGAAAUGUGGCACCUUCGGGUGUGUUAUAGUCUCUGAUCAUAUACAGUGGCUGGGACUGAGGAACUCAGCACGCCGAAAGGCCGGGGUUCGCCCACGUUCGUGCUUAGGAUGCUGGCAAAAUGGCUUUAAUCGACCCGUCUUGAAACACGGCCAAAGGGG
rnacentral:rRNA from 2 species